rnacentral:tRNA from 1 species
GAGGGUAUAGCUCAGUGGUAGAGCACGUGCUCAGUACGCAUGAAGUCCUGGGUUCAAUCCCCAGUACCUCCA